rnacentral:lncRNA from 1 species
UGGUCGAACAUCAUUCCAAUUUUUCUCUUCAAAUCAACUUACUCUACCCACUAACUCAAAAACCAUAAAUCAUUACGUACAUAAGUUAAAACCACCUAAGUACUACUCAAAUAACACAACAAUGAUGACCACCAUUUCAGCACCACAAAAUCUGGGACCAAAUUCCCAGUAUAAAUAUUAUCACAAUCAACACAUACCAAGCACAUGGUCGAACAAUUAUCAUACAUCCCGCGCGUAGCGCGGACACACCACUAGUUAUAACUUAUAACUAAGCCUAAAGAUUUUACUGAGAUAUCGUUUCCUUUUCCUUUAGGUUAUGGGAUCGCUUAAAGAUUUCUAGUAGAAGUUUUGACACUAGCCUUUCUAAGAAGAAAGAAAGACAAAGAAGAAAAAUAAAAACGAAGAAGAGGAGAUUGAUGGACGUGGCAUCUCGACACAGAAAAGGAAGAGAAAUCUUAAUUAUGAUUAUCAAAAUAAUCAAUAGAACACGUCCAAAAGCGCGGGUCAAAACCUAGUUGUAUUGAAUUUGUGAUGCUUCAUAACUAUAGCUUCAAGUGAGUCAACAUAUACGUUUUUUGACGAUAAACAUUAAUAAUUUUUUACAUAAACACAACAAUCAAUAUGUCGAAGAGUUUUACAUAAAC